rnacentral:rRNA from 1 species
CGAUACGAGUUUGAUCCUGGCUUCAGAACGAACGCUGGCGGCAGGCCUAACACAUGCAAGUCGAGCGCCCCAGCGAUGGGGAGCGGCGGACGGGUGAGUAACGCGUGGGAAACGUGCCUCUUGCUACGGAAUAGCCUCGGGAAACUGGGAGUAAUACCGUAUGUGCCCUACGGGGGAAAGAUUUAUCGGCAAGAGAUCGGCCCGCGUUGGAUUAGGUAGUUGGUGGGGUAAUGGCCUACCAAGCCGACGAUCCAUAGCUGGUUUGAGAGGAUGAUCAGCCACACUGGGACUGAGACACGGCCCAGACUCCUACGGGAGGCAGCAGUGGGAAUCUUAGACAAUGGGCGCAAGCCUGAUCUAGCCAUGCCGCGUGAGCGAUGAAGGCCUUAGGGUUGUAAAGCUCUUCAGUGGGAAGAUAAUGACUGUACCCACAGAAGAAGCCCGGCUAACUCCGUG